AUUUGGGACCCACAUAAGGGAGGAAGUAGGGAGCCUUAGAAGGGGGAGGAAACGAGAGGGAAGGGGGAGGGGGCGAAUCAUGUUGGAUCCAAGGAGGGGUUGUGGCGUGUUGUUCCGGUGGCAGGAGUUCUCGACGAGAGGAGAGGAAGUAUUUCUUUUCCCUUGUAGAGUGGUGACAGUAUAGGAUGAAUGCCCUAGGAUGAGCUCCAGGGAGGAUCCUUCCAAGUUAGAAUGAUAAGAAAAUGCAGAAUGACUAUGGAUGAACAAUUUAUGUUCUCCUAAGAGGUUUAAUUCCUAGUAAGAAAUGCUUGAGUUAGUUUUGUAGUCGAAGUGGAGAGAAUAACACCAAGGAUGUGAUAGGAUAUGUGGAGAUGGAGUAAUUGAGGAGAUGAGAUGGAAUGCAACACAUACUACCCUAGGGGCUUUAGUACAUGCCGAUAAAUUGUCAUUUGUUUCCUUAAGAGGUUAUGAGUUGAAGACUAUUGUUUUCUGAUUUAUUAGGAGUUUAAGAAAUUUUUCAUUCGAACGAUAAAUGUGGAGCUUUGAAAUUCAUAUGUGAGGCAAUUUUUCUCUA